GUUAUCCCCAGUGUUGGAGGUGGGGCCUGGCAGGAAGUGUUUGGGUCAUGGGGGCAGACCCUUCAUUGCUUGGUGCUGUUCUUGCAAUGAUUUCCAGAAUAAAGAAAGAAAGAAGAAAAGGAGGGAGGAAGGAAGAAGGGAGAGAGGAAGAAAAAGGCUAUUAGCAGACUCAUUUAAAAUGGAAAUGAGAUGCAACUGAACAACUUCAUUUGGGAUUGGAGAGUUGUCUGGAUUAAGCAAUUUAAUCUGUACAAGAGGAAGAAAAUACAUUUCGGAAGCAUGUAGUAAAUUUGGGCAUCCAUUUUGAUGGCAUUUGCCAAGCUUCUAUCAUGGGGACCCCUGCUCUCCUUGGUGCGUAUGCACUUCCUGUGUGGUUUCAUCUAUUCCUGUUGAGUGUAUGACAUGUACCAUUAAUAUACUAAUGAGCCUAAACUCUGUUUCUCCUGCCCACGAAGAUCUCUGAAAACUCAGGCCCAUAGAAUUAACCAUCCUGAGUAUUUUUUAUAAUAAAAAUGCUACAGAAACUCUCAAAUUGGAAUGAUUUAUUACUGUGCCCAACCUUCCUUUUUUUCUAUUUCUCUUAUUUAUCUCAAAGAAUACCUCAACCAUUCACUUAGUCACUGAAGUCAAAUAUCUAGAGACAUCUUAGACUUUUUAUUUUUCUUCUCCCAUAAUUUUCAAUUGUUGAUCAAAUAUUUUCAAUUGUAUCUUUUUAACAUUUUCUGUUUCCAACUGAUCACGUUUGUUCCUGUUGCUAUUCCUUGUAUCAAUAUCUUAUCUUUUUUCCCUCAUACGUCUUCUAUUUUUUUCUAUCCAGUCUCUCUCUCCUGUAUUGCUUUUGCUUGUUCUUUCUCUAUACUGGCAUCAAACCAAAUUUUCUAAAAUGCAAAAUUUAGCAUUAUCCUCCCUAAAACAUUGUAGUGACUGCUCUGAUAGGCCAUGGUUAUUCGCUAGAAAUCUCUUUCUCAUUCUCUUACUAGUACAGGCAAUGAUUGCUUUAAAAAGUCCCUUCUGAAAUUGUAUGAUUUGUAGUAGAUACAAUGCCUGCAUCAGUAUCUAUGCCAGUUUGAAGCCUUUAAAGGCACCUUCUUAACAACAUCUAAGGCCACAACAACCAGAAGAACUGUCUGAGCCAUCCUUUUUUUAGCUCAGUCAGUUUCUGCAAAACAACUUCUGCUUUGAGCCUUUCAUCUUAUUUCUGC
rnacentral:lncRNA from 10 species